rnacentral:lncRNA from 1 species
ACCGUACUCUAAUAAGGUUUUGAUAUCUGGAGCUCAUAGGUGGGAGACAGCUAAAACAUACUUACAAGACAUUUAUUGCAUAGUCAAACCAUGGAUCCAGAAGAACAAGUCAAUAAGUCAAAUCAAGAUGUGCAUGUGUGGUGAAUGAACGGUGUAUGGUGAUGAUGGUGAUAACAAUGGUGAAAGUCUAAUUCUACUUGUGCUCUUUUGAGGGAUACAUACCUUUCUUGCUCUUUUGAAACUUUUUGAGAAGAAUGAGAUGCUCUAUAUUUUCUUUUUCUUUUCUCUCAGGUGGGUAUCUUGUACCCCUAAUUCUACUGUCGGACACUUGUCCAUUUUUACCUCUCGUCUUACUUUUUCUUUUCUUUCGAGGUUCUGGGCACUUGCCCCUUUUUAUUUCCUCUAUCUUCUUCUUUUUUUAGAGCACUCAUCUCUUGAAAUAAUGUAGCAAGUGGUAGUAACCGAAAUAACUUGAGCAUUUAUUUCACAGGGGAAAAAUAGAAAUGUUUUUGGCUAUUCUCUCCCAGAUUAUGAGUAGAAUAUUUUUAGGUGAUUCUGGAGAUAGAAAUGAGUGGAUGUAUGUGGAUGCGUACUUUCGGAGUAGAAGCAGCAUGUGUGAGUGAACGUCGCAAGUGAAUCUUGAUUUAACCACAUGACAAGCUCCUAAGGGUCUACACAGCUUAACCACACUCAAUGCUCAUAAGCAGUAAAAAGUAAAUGUGUGGCUCAAAGUCUAGCAAGCAUGUAUAUAUGGUUGUGGUAGGAAUUUAAACUAACAUCAUACAGGAACUCAUCAUGGGAUAUUUUAAAGAUUUUCAAAGAUAAAAUUCUCCAGAAUUCUAGCAUCUCUAGAAACAGAUAAACAGCAGCUCAACCUUCCCAUAUCAUAUCCGUUAAUAACUUAGACAUUAGAUCAAGUACUCUUCCCACAAGUUCAGGUUUAGAGCAAAUCUUAAUUAAUAAUAGUCAUGCCAAAACUUGAGAGAGCUUUCAAUUUUGAGAACUAGUCAUGGCAGAGCAACAAUUCAUCAUUUCCAUAUGAGAGCUUAAAGCAAGUUUUAUUUAUUUAUUUAUUUAGCAAACUAAGCAAAGAUAUAUAUAUAUAAGCAAAAAAUCUUUAUUUGGGUCUUUAUGAUUAUGCAUCUUUUUAUUAUUUGAGUAAAGUAUAAACAUGAGUAGAACACUUAGCUGGAUAAAUGGGGGUGCUCUCCCCCAAGCUGGAUUUUGACAUAAUUUCUCCUGAUGUAGCUAGCAGGUAGCGGUGGUGUAUUUGAAUGUCGGCAGCACCCUGACAGCGAUUAGGAUGUCCUCCGUCUGCUAGUCUUCUUUUUAUCCUUGAAUUCUGUGGAGCUCAAAUAGACAACAAAGCUUUGUGGAACUAGUUAAGUGUUAGCAUAAAUAUCUAGCUUUAUCAUGUUGAGCCUCCUCAAUAGAUGUUACAUUCUUUAGUAGGAUCAUAAAUUUAUUUUUAUACUUUUAUUUUUAUAGGACAGGAAUAUAUUUAUUUUAUUUUUAUGCCAACACAGUGAAUGUACUUAUGGGUUUUAUGCCAUGAGCAUACUCACAUGGGGCUUACUAUUUUUAACAUUUUUAUUUUUUUUCAAGAUGACAUGAACCUGAUUAACUGAGCAAACUAUUUUAAAUAAUUGAAAGGAAAAGGAUAACUACCAAGUUUACCUCAAGGCGUUCGGUGUUUUUAAGUCCUCCGAACGGGACUCUCCAUUUUCUCAAUCGUCCUGGGAUUCGCUGGAUUGCGUAGUCGAUGGUUCCGGCAGCGCCUGCUCUUCAUGUAUAACUAUCCUCUCUCUACACACCUAACUCGGUGCUACGGUCUCCUCAGGACAGUUCUGUUCAAGUUGUAUGUCUUCAGACCUUACCACUUCUCCUUCGUAGUCUGCCCAUCCGUCCUUGAUGAUUUGCCUCCUAUGGUUGCGGUUGUGUCGUAUUCUUAUUGUCCUGACCUGCUUAGAGUCUUCAACUAUAUAGUUAGGGUCAGUAAAAUAGCAGUGUACCUUCUCAGAGGGGAAGUGCAUGUGGACUUCUCCGGUUCCAAUAUAGAUAAUUGCUUUAACGGUGCUGAGGAACAGUCUCCCAAGGAUGAUGGGUGGAUCGUACUUGUUUUCUCCCAUGUUAAUAACCUGAAUGAUCGUCUAUUUUGAUAGGGACAUCAGUUACUAUACCUUUAACCUUUCGGAAUGUCUGAUCUGCCAUCUGGAGCUGAAUUUAUGUCGAUUUUAGGGGCAUGGUUCCAAACAGGAGCUGAUAGGAGACUACAGCCAUUAUGUUGACGCCUGACCCGGUGUCGCAAAGCGUCUUCUGGAAGAUGUAUCCAUUAAUGGAGCACUGGAUGGUUGGCAUACCUGGGUCGUCCUUUUUGUUCAGGAACGGUGACUUAAGUCAAUGAUCUUGACCUCCUUGAACUGUAGUGACCAUCUUAGCUAACUCGGUCCACAUUUGCUUGUUCGUGUUCCUCGUGUUAGUACUCUUCCUUGGUUCAUGUCGGGAUUGCUCUGAGAUUUGUGUAGUCUUGUUCUUGAAGGAAAACGUCUCCUUCCUCCCCUUUAUGUAGAAACUGAUCUUGGCAGCACUAGCGUAGAUGAUAGCUCCCGAGGUGUUCAUGAAUGUCCUCCCUAGGAUGAUGGGGGCCCUCUCAUCAGUACUAGUCUCUAUCACCACGAAGUCUGUUGGGGCGUACAAGGUACCAACUCGGGCGUAGAGGUUCUUCAAUAUUCCCUUUGGGAAACUUAGUGUCCGAUCUGCAAGCUGCAAAUACAUGGUUGUUUCUCGUAAAGGAUGUGUAAAGAAUUUUUCAUAUAGUACCCUGGGUAUAAUGUUGACGCUGGGGCCAAAGUCGCAGAGUGCUUCUGGGAAGUCCACCAUGCCGAUGGAGAUCGGGAUGACGGGGCGUCUUGGAUCGCCUAUAUUGAUUUUGUUGAGGACAGUUGUAGUAGUAGUAGUAGUAGUUGUUGGUGUAGUUUACGUCCUCAAGCAUCUCAGGGCAGUGAUUGCCUGAGUGUCCACUAUCUUCACUGUGUUUGUGUUCAUAGAUCUAGGUUCUUCACUUAGUGGAGUCUAGGAGUUAUAAAAGUCCUUCAUAUUUUGCUCGAAGUGUACCUGCUCAUAGAGACAAGGCAGAGAUCAAGUGCAUGGGCCCUGUUGGUGGAAAACACCAACAGAACCAAAAGUGUACUUGUUCUUCUCUAACCUUAAGCAUAGUGGGCAAGACAAAGUUGAUGGAUUAUAAGAUCAUGAGUGUAGCAUUUAAAACGUUUGUCAGAUCAGAUUGCUCAACCUUAUGGAAAGAUAAUCUAUCUAAGUAAAUGUUUUUUUCUUUACAUGACUAUCAUUUUCCAAAGAUCAGAUGUGCAACAUUUUAGCUCCUAUGGUUAAGAGUGUCGGAACAAGAAUGUAGUACCGAGAACAAAGAUUAAAGGACUAAACAUGUUGAAUCGACUGGGUUGGUUAAUCUAGAGUUGUAAAUCAUACAUGUUUAUCUCUUUUAUUCAUGUCAACACCAGAACCAAGGAGAAGCUUAUAAAAGUGAUAGUCAAGUACCUUAAGAUGUUACCUUACUUAUAGAGUGAUGGUACAGUAUCACCUUGUGGAAGCUUUCCUUUCUUAGCGGUUGUGCAUCGUGUUUGUGGCACCCUCCAUGGAUCAUCUCUUGUGAGCUAUGCCUUCCUUGUGUAAAUUGGUAAACUUCAUGUGUCUCUCUAUUUGUCUCCAAUGUGACUUUAUCUCAGGACUUCCCAGGUCGAUAUUGAAAGUUUUCCUGUAGGGGUUAGUCCACAAAAUAUCCAAUAUCUACUAUAGCAUACUAUCGGCUCAAAGAUCAACCUAGACACCAUGUCUAAUUUGAUUUAGGAGGGCAUUUUAACCUAAGCAUCAUGCUUAAUUUAAACUCCCUUGGAAGUAAGAUCAUCAGCCCUAAACUAAGCACCAUGCUUAAUUAAGAGAUAAAUGAAACUACUCCAAACCUAGACAUAUACUAAAGCAAAUAAAGGUAGCAUGAGAGCAUUUAUAGAGUUCUACUCAAGUGGAGAUGAAGUAGUGUGAUUAUUAUUUAACAAAUUGAGCAUGUCUCAAAGGUAGGGACAACCAACAUAGCAACAUGGCAAAGGAUGUUUUUAAUGUAAAGUACUCCCCCAAGCUUGAAUUUUGAAAAAUUCAAGUUUGGAUGAAUUUAAUUCAAUGUUGUAUGAUGAUUGGUUGGACAUACCUUGUGCUUGUCAUUCAUCCAAUCUUCUUGCUCCAAUCCUAGAAUGGUUAGUGACAAGAAUACCCGAAGGAAUUUUUUUACAUUUAUCCUUAUAUGCUCAAUACACAAGUUAAUGUUGCAAAUAAUUAAAAGCUCAUGUUACGAUCUGAUCAGUGCUUAUUUUAGGACACUAAGCUUGUCCUUGGGAAACCAUCAAUUUAUGUCGGCGAAGUGGUUUCUCCUCCAACGCUGACCAAUAUCAAGAUCAACUCAACGAGAUCUACAAUAUUUAUUAUAGACAUAUGCAUCGACAACCGUCCUUUUAAAUUUUUUAUAAAUUGAAAGGAAGAGGGGUUGGAGAUCACAAAUGUGGUGAUGUUGGAGAGACCAAUGGAUUGUGAAGAUAUUACAUAUGAGCAUGGAGUAAAUGAAGUGGCUAUGAAAUAAAUUCAAUGCUCAUUAAUGCUUGGAGUGAAAUCCAUGUGGUGUGGUGAAAAUGGUACGGUGAAUGUGGUACAAAAGGAAAAGAAAAAGGAUACACAGACGACUUGGUUCGAAACUAGCACAGCUACCGUUCCCCGGCAACGGCGCCAGAAAGCUUUUUGGGUAUUUUAAACGCAAACAGAAAAAUCCGCAAGCGCACGGAUACCGAUGUAGCCUUCACCUGUGAGUAUUCCAAAGUAUUGAUUUUCCACAGGGAAUGUGAGUGUACUAAUUAAAAUUCAAGAUCGCCCAAGGAUAACUAUAUAUUUAUUUUUGGUGGGAAGAGAGAAAGUUUCCUGAGAGUUCUCUAGUUGAUCUAAGCAUCAAGAAUUACUUCAAAUAUUAUUUAUUUCGGGACAUCAGAACACUAACCACAAAAAGAGAUGAGAAGGGGGCUAGGAAGCUCUGACUACGGUCCGACAAACACCGAUCCGAAGAAGGUGGAAUACGUCGACCGUUAGGGCUGUCACUACCGUAGGGCUACCACAACAAUCCGCAGGAUUAGGUGCAAUUCCAGGUAAUUGCAAGACUAAACACCACGUCUAAUCUAUUAAUUACUACUCUAGCGUUGUAAAGACUAGAGCACUUGAUGCAAGCGGGAAUCGAAUAAAUAACUUGAAUGUAAAUAAAAGUAAUUAAGGAACUCAGGAAUUAUGUAUUGAAGAACUUGGAGAACGAUGGAGAAUGAACCAGUUGCUGCAAAAGUAUAAUGUUGAGGAAGAUCCGACAGAUCUGGCUCCUCCUCCGCUCUCCUCUUCUCUCUCCCUAUUUUCUAGAUUACAACUAUAACUAACUAGAACUAGAAAUAGAGGAACUAGAACUAGAACUAGAUGAACUAGAGGGAUCCUCUCUACUUGGAUGAAGAAUUGAAACCCUAGCUUUCAUUCUGUAGAAGAGGUAUGCCUCUAAGGGGCCAGGGGGCCUUGUUUAUAUAGUCUUUUCAGAUGAAUCUGAGCCGUCGGAUCAACCGACAUUAAUCGCACAGUUUUCCUUGAUCCUUUAAGUCGGUGGAGCGUGAUCCGCGAAACGGGUCCUGUUUGGACUCUGAAGGUGGGCGGGCGCCCAAAGGAGUAGGGCGGGCGCCCUGUCCCUGAGCCCUCUCGGCUUCCCGUUCGUUCUCGUGGCUUCUGGACUCUUUUAGAUGAUAGAAAAUUGUGCGGCACGUUAAUAUCUCUAUGUCAACCCGACGUGUGGGCCUUUCUUCCGUAUUUCCUGAUAACCCCUUGCAGAAAUAGACAAACACCAAAACAUGUGGAAUUCUGUCAGAUAAAACGCUAAGUCUGGUUGUUGGUUGCAUUUGGAUCCUUUUCAAUGAUUAGUUGAUGGUUAAAUGUGAGCAUUAAGGAUUGUCAACAAUCAUCAUCACCAUACAUCUUUCAUUCGCCACACAUGCACAUCUUGAUUAGACUUAUUGACUUGUAUCUCUGGAUCCAUGGUUUGACUAUGCAAUAAAUGUCUUGUAAGUAUGUAUACUUUAUCUCCCACCUAUGAGCUCCAGAUAUCAAAGCCUUAUUAGAGUAGGGUGAGAGAGAAGGCAAUGUCACUAUGCCUUAUAACACAAAUGCCACAUACUUUGAGAGAAGGCAUAUACCAUCACUGCUUUGGUGAGGAUCCAGAAAUACCAUAAAAGAGAGAUCUGAGAGAGUUAUACAAGGAAUCUCUGAGUUUUAUUUGAAAAUCUACAAAAACUCCAGAGCUAUAGCUGAUCAAGAAUAAGAGACAUGGCACUUGAUUAGACCGUUCUAUCUUUUAACUACUCAAGACAGAAGUGACGGUUACAAGUCCCAUGGUGAAAGGUAAAAUGAGUAAGUUUUAAGUCUUGACAGUUUACUCUAACUCAGAGAUGAGAUCUUAUUUAAAAGCAUGUGUACCGUCAAUUUUUAAAAGGCAUUACAACAACUUCUGAUCCAUCACUGAGAUUAUCCUAGCUCAGGGACGAGCAAGAGGUAAGCUUAGGGGAGUUUGUUGACGGUCCUUAGGUAUCAAAUAUAAUUAUCAAAUAAAUAAAGAAAAGGAUCCAAAUGCAAUCGACACCCAGACUUAGGGUUUUAUCUGACAGAAUUCCAUGAGUUUUGGUGUUUGUCUAUUUCUACAGGGGGUUAUCAGGAAAUAUGGAAGAAAGACCCACACGUUGGGUUUACAUAGAAAUAUUAACGUGCCGCGCAAUUAUCCUACAUCUAGAAGAGUCUAGAAGCCACAGGAACGAACGGGAGACCGGGCUCGGGGGCAGGGCGCCCACCCUCCCCCCUUGGGCGCCCGCUCUGGCCUCGGGGCCAGCCAUCUUCGCGGAUCAGGCUCCACCAACCUAAAGGAUCAAGGAAAACCGUGCGAUUAAUGUCGGUUUGAUCCAACGGCCCAUAUUCACUUGGAAGGACUAUAUAAGCAGACCCCCUGGCCCUGGAGGAGAGGACCUCAGACCCCUAAUUCAUUAUUCAUCUUGGGAGAAGAAGCCUCUGAUCAAUCCCUAGAGCCGCCACAUCAAUUAUAUCUCUAGUUUAGCAUAGCUAGAUAGGAUUAGAACUAGAAGGAGUCAAUCUUCGAUUGGUUUCCGGAUCUGUCAAGAGGAUUCUUGGUAAUUCUCUAUUUUUCUUCAAUUGUUCAUUUUUGUUCUUCAAUAUUAUGAAUAUGACUUUGUUCUACUAUAAUAUAUUGAUUAUGACUUUGCUCUACUUGUUUAUAUUCGCAAUUAUAUUGUUCUUAGUUUAUCAUGGUUAUAUACUUGGCUGUAAUACCCGAUUUUAAGGACAAAACCAGGUAUGCACCAUAUGUGAGUUUUGUCCUUAAAAUCGGGUAUUACAAAGUAGUAUCAAAGCAAUGCUGACUGUAGGACGCAAGCCUAGUUAUAAAUUGUUCGUCUUAAGGUUUUGGAAUUGUCAUAAAAUCCUUGCUCUAUAAACCUUGGUAUUUUCAUCCAUACUAUAUCCCUAUCCUUGCUAUUUGUCUUUACCUUGUUGCUUAUUUUAAAAGUACUUGUUCUCACCUUCACCCCUUGACUUGGUAUGCUUUUAGAACCUUUUCUUAUCACCUUCUUGCGUCUCUGAAAGAGGAGUUUUAGGAUCCUUAUCCUCCCUUUGAAGAAAACGAUAGUAUCGCAAGUUGAGUGAAUUAUGAACCUUCAAUGUUUAGUUGGUUUGUUAUUAUGUUUAUUCUUGAUUUGGAUCUUUGUAAUGAUUGCAAUGAUCUUGUGAAAUUACUUCAUAAUUUCAUUAGUUCAUAGGCCUAAGGCAUAAGGAUUAAUGAAAUAAGUAGUUGGGUUUGGCUUUCUCUUGUUUCUAUCCCUUGCUGAUUUCUGGAGCAGUCUGCAAUGGUUCUGGUGUAUCUCAAGUUUUCAUCGUUCAAAGUCUAUCAACUUUUUCUAGGAGCAACUAGACUUCAAGAUCUUUCUCUGACCGUAAGAAUCACCCUCAUAGCUGUUAUGGUUUGGAAGUUACAAAAAUUACAAGAUGAUACAGUUGUGCUGUCAAGAGAUCUGGACCAGUUUCGAUUACUUACUGUUUGAGACAAAUAUAACUAUAGAAUUUGGAAUAGUAUUCUAUAGAAAAGUUUUAGACAAUUUUCUAAGCUUUUCAACAGUAUAAUAUGGAACUUAUUCAGAUAAGUAUAACCUGAGAUAUGACAUUUACACAUGGAUGUUUCUGUUCUGUUUAAAAGUCUGGACAGUUUUGGUACUUCCUAUUUUCGGACAUCCAAACUUCAAAAUCUGGGAAAAAGUUAUCAACGAAAUUUGUAGAGUAUUUCCUAAGCGUUUCAAAAAUAUAAGGAUCAUCUCCAGAUGAGUUAAGGAGCUCGAGAUAUAACUUCUGGAAGUUACUCUACCUUUGCUGAGACAUUAUCAGGAUGGGUAAUAUGUUUGGCUGUUUUAUCUAAGCUUAAAGACAGAAUCUAAGGAAGUAUUAUUUAUGAAAGUGUUAGGGAAUUUCAUAAGCUUUGUAACAGUAUAAUCUACAACUCUAUUGAAUUAACAGAAUAAGUGUUAUACCUGUUUUACUACGCUGGUGUUUUCAUAUCAGGAGAAAAUUUCAGGAAUCCUGUUUGUUCUCUUGCACAAAAGUUCUUUGGGAUGUCAGAUGUUUUCAAUGCUAGUUAACUUGUCUGGAAAACAUGCAAGCUACCUUUCUUGGUCCCCUAGUUGACUUUUCCUAAGGGGGUAGCCCAAUUAAAGAACUACAAGGAGAAGAAGUGGUUAAUGACUAGAACAUCGAUAAGGACAUCAAGUGUUUGGUUUGUUCAAGAUAUCAUCCCACUUAGAGAAUAUUAGUAGAGAUAUAUGUCAUUGCUGAUACUCAUGGAUUAAGAGUUGUGUAUGAGGAUCAGAUGACACCAAAGGCUACAAAGUUACAUAUGCAAUAUGAGAGUGAAACAACUUAAUUGUGAUAAAGGUACCAAUAGAUGGACUUAGUGUUGAAACCAACCUUGGAUUAAGAGACUUGGUACAAGGAAUUUAAAAGACUAUGAUGUGUAGCGUCUAAAAAGGAUAGGAGAAUUAGUCCCUAAUGUCCCCCAACCAACCUCGUCUGAAGGGGGGUAGUACUUUGGUAUCACUGGAAGAUGCAUUUUAAACUAUCAUGAAGUGAUAACUGUAUUCUGAGAUAUCUUAUGGUUAUGUGCACACAAGGGAGUGAUCUAUGCUACCCAGCAGAAUAUUAGUAGAGAUAUAUGUCAGGGAAAAGAAUUGAGUAUCAAGGAGAUCCACUACUACACGAGGAGGCAAAUCCAUGCUAAGCUAUCAUGUCUCGGAGUUGUAAGUCAAAAAGUUGGUAGUCAAGAUGGACCUUGAUCAAAUACGAAUAAUAGACAUUUUAUGAAAGUUUUGUUUACAAGUUGUGAUCCCGAGACAUAAGUAUCCGCAUUUGGAAUACUAGUUGUGGAGUUGAAUUAGUGAUCAAUAUCUUUUUCCUAUCUCUCUUUUGGAAUCCGUGCCUCUUCCGAAUCUCGAGGACGAGAUUCAUUUUAAGGGGGGUAGAUUUGUAACACCCUAAAAUUUAUUUCUUUUUGAAAUAGGUGAAAAUGAUUUAAUUUUGUAUUUUUGUGUUCAUGAAAUAUAGAGAGAUAAUAUUUUUAAUUAAAUUAAAAAUUCAUCAUAGGACAUAGAAAACAUGCUUGAGCAUGCAUGCCUUUGCAUUUUAUUUAUUGUGAUGAGUGUAUUUGAACUCAAAAUUUUAAAAUGAUUCAAAAUGUUUUGAAAUGAUGUGAAAAUAGCUUUGGAAUAAAAAGAAAACAAAAGAAAAGAAAAAGAGAAAACCCUCUCCCUUCUCUCUCUCUCGGCUCGAAGGCCUGGUUUCCCUUUCUUUUCCCCACAACCCAGCUCUCUCUUCCGGCCCAGCACGCCACCCCUUCCCCCUCGCCUCGGCCCAGAGCGUGGCCUAGGAACGCUCGCGCGCUGGCCUUCCCCUCCCCUCUCUUCUUUGGCUAGCAAGCGAACCCCGCGCCUCCGGUCACCGACAGGUGGGCCCCUCUCGUCAGUCGCCCUUCUUCAACCCCGAGUCAGGCGCAACCUGGACUUUGUUUCCAGAGCCGGCCACCGUAUCCCAGGAAAUCUGGGAUUUCCUUAAGUAACUCGCGAUCCAACCUGUUUAAAGAGCUUCAAGACCUUCCCCGCUUCCAAGUUUGCAAUCUCUUGGCCACUGCCUUGACAAAACCCUCGCUUUGCCGCUAUCUGGAUCUCGCCGUCGGGCUCCACUCAACUGUGGCCGAGGAGUUCGCGUUUUGCAGUCGUUUGGGCGUGUUCGAACCCUUGCCGAGAUUUGAUCAAGGUCUGCGAAGCCACCGAAUCAUUUCCUUCAAUUUCUCUUGUUUUCUCUCGCGCUCAAUUGCUCGCCGAACGUGUAGGAACAUCCCGAUCCGGCAAUCCUCGUCGCCGGGCCGUUCCGAGUUUUCCCCCGACUCCAAAAGCGCCUAGGUGAGAUCCCCUUGUCUCUCUCUGUCUCCCCAUACUUCUGGAGUUGUUCUUGGUGCACCGUAGCGCUCAAUCGACGAACUCCGACGAGGAGCAAGGCCCUCCGGCCAUGGCGCCACCGCCGGAGACACUGUAGCUGGCCGGCGCCCUCCCUCUCCUCCUCCCAGAUCUAAUCUGAGCCAUUCAGUCGUGAUCCAACGGUUAGAAAUCAAGGAUACCCUUUCGGCUGAUUAUUUUGCUAGAGUCCCCGGGAAAAUUAGCAUAUUAACCCACAGUCCUAGUGCCUUCCUUGAACUACGUUUGUUCUGUUGGAAUACGUAUUCCUCAUCACUUAAGUUCAAAAUACGUUUUCACGAAACUACAGGUUUGCCACUGAUUUUACAAUGCUCAUAAAAUGCUCAUUUUAAUUCCGUUUUGAUCCAUUCAUAUUGCGUUAGGUUCAUAAUCAUGAGCUCUACAUGUUAGUAAAAUUGUUUUCUCAGUUUGAAACCUUUUAAUUUCGUGAUCCUAUUUAAUUAAUUACUUUUCUAUAUAAAAUCUUGGAAAAUUCAUAACUUCACCGUUUUAACUCCGAUUUUCGUGAUCUUUACGUCUAUGAAAUCGUAGUGAUGCGUAGAAUCAUUUUCUAAACUUUUCGUACUGUUUUUAUAUGAUUGGUGUACUGUUGUAAUUAUAGCUUUGUUUGCUUCAUGUAUGUUUUCUUCGAUUGUUUGUGUGAACGAUGAUCGAGUUUAGUCGGUGAGCAACUCGUGGUGAACAAGAGUACUUCAGUGAUCAAGAUCAGAGCCUUGGACAACUAGUAAGACCAGCAGGAUCAGCAAGAGCAUUGGGAUUAAGGCAAGUAUAGCAUUUGGAUUUUAUUUCUUUAACCAUGAUUCUGUGACUAGAUUAAUGUUAAGUAAUAGACGAUAAAAAUGACUUUUUAGCAACUUGAUGAUUUAUCUGUACGUGAUCAUCCAGGACAACAGUGCAACCAUGAGGGCUAUAAUGGCUCAGGCUUUAGCUCAGAAUGAAGACCUUUUCUAGCUUGUUAGAGGUUACCCGAAAGGGCGGAGGGGCCGAACCGUUUUGGGUAUAGUGCGAGCCCCUAUCUUUAUGUGUAUAAGCUGCGCAUCAUUGUGCCAUUUGGCAGGGGGGUAUCUAUAUCUGCGCGGAAAGGAAACCUUGCGGCCCUAACAUGUUAGACGAACUUUUGAAAGGCUUCAUAGUGAUCCCUGCCGACCUUCCUUGGUAGUGGAUUAAGAGGCUGAUCACCUCGGGCGAAAGGGUAAAUCAUGACUCAUGGGUAAAGAUGUGUGUCACACCCAAUUUCAAGGAAGAAAUUGAAUGCAUAAACUUAUGUGCACCCAGAGAUCAAUCACACACAUAAGUCACAAAUUAAAUACCAUCAUCGCAGUGUUUACAAUAAACGUAGUUAUUACAUCACAAAGUCUGGUUUAACAGUGGAGAUAUAAAUAUGAUAAUCUAAGAUAACUAUCUCAAGGCCCUCACACAGGGAAGGUCGACUGGUGAAGCACAAGCCUAAAAGUCCUCAGGGUAGUCCUCAUAGCCACCACCAUCUGUUACCCAUCCGGGAUUUUUAUCCAAAGAAAAGAAAUAUACAAGCGUGAGUACAUCUCGUACUCCACAAGCAUAGCAUGAGGAUUUAUGAGGCUCAAACAGGCUAAACUAGGUUCAUUGCAUCAGCUUUUAGUAGGUCAGUGUUUUAUCAUUAAUUAUUAUAGAUUAUGCUUAAGCUCCCAAAUAUCCCAUAUGAUCAGUUAUUAGAACCAUAGUAAGUCAAUAAGUCACAUUAAAGCAUAAUUAUAUGUCAUCAUGUACCAUAAAGCCAUUAGUAACCAGUUAUUCUUUGAGUUUUCCGGGCCGCUCGUGACCGUGAGCACGGCUGUUAUAACAGUUAUACACUCUGCAGAGGUUGUGCACUUUCACUGUGAGUCGUGUUGCCCAUAUGCCCGGGGUCCGUCGACCCCCAAACACUACCAAGGUGAGCGGGCAGGGUACACUAUGAAGCCUUCCAUAGGCCUAUUCUAACCAGUUAGGGCCGCGAGGUUUCCUCGGCAGGCAGAUGUAGUAAACCCCCCUUUCAUAUGGCACAUUUCCAUCGCGGCUAUACUCAUAGAAACAGGGGCAGCCCUACACCCAAAGUGGCAAGCACCUCUUGUGCCCUUUCGGGUAACCUCUAACGAGUUAGAAAAGGUCCUAUUACUGAGCUAAAGUCAGAGCCAUAUGACUCUCCCGGUUGCACUGUAAGUCCCAGCUUUUGCCGACAGAUAAGUCCUUACGGAGGGUCUAGGACAACAUGACCAACAGUCAUUUGUACCAUAGCCCUAUGUUCCAUUUAUCAUAAUCAUGUUUAAUCAAUUAACCAUGAUUCCAUCACUGAUUUCAGAUCAUAUAUAAUUGGAGUUAGAGCACUAGCACUUCUACCCAUAUGCAAUAAAAACCCUUGGGAACAAGGUAAUUGUCAUCAACAGCUAGGAUGUCCUUAUAGUUUGCAAUAUUAUACACAUGUAGGGUGAAAUGCUUAUAAAUGAGUAGGACAACAAGGUAGGCCCAUGCUAUACUUGCCUUGGUUCACGUACUCCUGCUGUUCUUGCUGGUCCUGCUGGUCCCCAAAGAGCUCCGGACUCCCGAAAUACUCCUCACCGUCUGGACUCGAUCAAUACAUCACAAUCAUCACGCAUACCAAGACAAACAUGCAAGAAAACAAUUCCUAAAGUUAGAACAGUACACCAGCAGUAAAUAAAUUAAAUAAAAGUUUUCCAAAAACAUCUACGUGCUGCUACGAUCACGUCAACGCGAAAUUCACGAAAAACGGAACUAAAAUGACCAAGUUACGACUUUUCGGCGAUUUCCUAUAGGCAAUUAAUUAAUUAAACCUAACCCUGAAAAUAAAAAGUGGCAAACUACAGAAACAGUAGUACUAUCAUGUAGAGUAUUUAAUUACGAAUCUAACGCAAUUUGAACGGGUCAAAUCGGAGCUACAACGAAUAUUUUAUGGCCAAAACAAGUUCAGUGGCAAUUCUGUAGUUUCCCGAAAGCGUAUUUUGACCUAACCGACGGAUAAUACGUUUUCUAAAAGAGAAAGCGUAUUUCGCUCGAAGGCGCUAAGGAGUGCGGCUGAAUUUGGAAAUCUGGGAGGGGCUCUUUAAGCAAAAUUUCCCCCCGAAGGGGUACGGUGCAUCCAGGGCCGUUGAUCUCUUGAUGAACGCCCGAGAUUAGAAGGGGGAAGGAAGGGGGAGAGGAUGGGCGGCGCUCCUGGCCGGCGCUGCAGCAGGAGGCGGCGGCGGUCCAUGGCCGGCCGGCCCGAGCUCGCCGGAGCUGGCGGUUUGGAGGCUUCGGGCCACGGUUUUCAAAUCCGGAAGCACACAGAGAGAGAGGAGGGCAACGCGAAUCCAACCCGGGGCAUAACGCGGCCAGAGGGGCGGCUUGCAAGGGGGCCGACGGUGGCGCCAUGGCCGGCCCCGAUGGUGCUCCUAGGACGACUGCUAGAGGCGCUAAAAAUCAAAGAAAACGGAACGGGGAAGAAGAGGGAGGUGGUACGCGCUCACCACGACGAAGAACGGGAGCUGAGACGGCUCGAGACGACGGCUUCGCGCGGCGGGCGACAAACUCCGGCGGCAGUUUUCUGCGCACUCGCGAUUGGGAGCAGAGCCGAGGGGAGAGAGGGGGAAAAUGAGGAGGGGAAGACUCGGGCGCGCGGACUCCCACCACUUGAAGCCGAGACGCGGGGAGGGCGGAGAACGUGGGCGCGGGGAGAGCAGCUUCGACGGUUUUUCCAACCGAGCGAGAGAGAGAGUCGGGGGUGGGCGGUUGGAGGUAGGGGGAGGUCCUGACGGGUGGACCCCACCCGUCAGCCGCCAGGGAGAAAGAGGGGUAAGGGAGGGGAUCGGCUGGGCCAGGCCCAAGAAGGAGAAAGGGGGCGCGCUGGUUUUGGGCCAAAAUGGCCGAGAGAAGGGGAGGGAAGAGAGAAAAGCUUUUCCUUUUUAUUUUCCAAACAAAAUUUUCAAACUCUUUUCCAAAUGAUUUUUUGAAUUCAAACAUCUUUUCUUCAAAUCCACUCAUCACAUAAAUAAAUGCACCAGCAUGUAUGCAACAAAGUAUUGGCCUAACUUAUAUUUAAUUUUAUUUUCUCCAAAUUUAUUUAUUUUCCUAUAUUGAAAAUGCUCACAAAAUUAUUUAAUAAAGCCAAAUUCAUCUAUUUUUAAAAGAGCCAAAUUUUGGGUGUUACAAUGUGCAACCUCUGCAGAGUGUUUAAACUAGUAUACUAGCCGAGCUCACGGUCAGGAGCGGCCUUGGGCACAUCUACAUUAAGGGUGAUGAUUCUUGUAUGUUAAAUAUGCUCAUUCUUUAUUGUUUAAUGCUCUACAUUAUUUAUGUCACAUUGAUCAUGAGAUUGUGGGAGCUAUACAAUCUAGUUGCAAUACUUGUGGAGUUCGACAUGGACUCACUCUUGCUAUUUUCCCCACACAUCAGGAGGAGUGUUAGGCUUGUGAUCAACCAAUCAGUUGGAUCCUGUAGAGAGAAGCUAAUACCCAAAGUUUGGAGUUGUCUUCUGUUGUAUCCUGCCUAAGGUUAUCUCUAAUUUAAUAUGUACGUUAUAUAAUUUAUGCAUUGUCUAUUGAUAUUGCCCCUUGUUUGUAGCUAUAUGUGAGAUUUGGCUUCUAAAACUCACAUAUGGUGCAUAUCUGGUUUUGUCCUUAAAAUCGGGUAUUACAUUGGCUUAGUUAGAUUGGAAUUAUAUACAUAUUUACGAUCGUAUAGCAUUUAUCCAUGUGUACAGUGGGUAAAUAAUAAGUAUUGUGUAGGCGUGGUGCCUAUACCAUAUUUAUCUGCGAUUGUACCCUAUAUGCCAGAUCGCGGGGUAGUUCGUGGUAGUGACAGCUCCAUUGAUUCUUAUAUAGUCCCCCUCUCGUGUAUUGGGCUGGCAGAGCAACAUUAUUACAGGGGAGUGAUUGCUAUGUUUCUCAUAUUCCUUGAUAAUAUCACUAUGCAUGGGCAUAGUCCUGUCUCGCAAUGAUUGCCAAGUAUAAUUGCACUAACUAUGAUAUGCUAGACUUUAUAGUGAAGAAUAACUUAGGAAAUAUUCUUGUAGUUCGUCCUAAUUCCAUGCUAAUGACUUGCUAGAUUAUCUAAUUGAGGUGCUUAUCAUAUUUAUAUGUGGCUAAGUUAUGUUGAUCAGAUUAAUUAUCUUUGUCAUCAUUCAUACUUUAUAUAUCUUUUAUGUGACACUUAUCCCUGUGUGAAAGAGAUAGAUAGAUGCUCUCAAUUAUACAUGCAAUGAUAGAUACCCAAUUCUAUAUUCCAUUCUAUAAUCAACAUUGAUGAUUACUAAUCCCUCCUAGUGGUAAAAAUAUAAAUAACGAUACCUGGAAUACUUCCCGGUUAAAAUGCUACAUCGGUAUUAAUCGGUGCGCUUGCAGAUCUCAUUUAUUAUUCAUUCAGAAGAGCAAUUGCAUAUUUCAAUACCGCGUCUUUCAUGUCAUGCUAGGGAUGACAACUUGGCUUAAGUGGCAUGAGGGAUAUGUUUGGCAUUUUUGGCGCCGUUAUCAGAAUUAGAAAACUAAGUCUACUUUUGGUAGUGACGUUAAGAAUGCCCAACAAAGAUCAUCGACAGGUGUCAUUCAUCACCAUAUGGAGGUCAUUAUGGAGCAUUCCGUACACAUUCAAAGAUCUGGCAGUGUGGAUUCUACUGGCCUACAAUGUAUGAAGACACGAAGCAAUAUAUCAGAAGAUGUGGGUCAUGUCAAAGGCACGGAAACAUAAACAUAAGGGAUGCCAUGCGACUCACCAACAACCUACAGAUUGAGCUCUUUGAUGUCUGGGGAAUAGAUUACAUGGGUCCAUUUCCCCCAUCAAAGAAGUGUGAGUUCAUCUUGGUGGCAGUUGACUAUGUCGCCAAGUGGGUAGAGGCACUACCUUGCAAACACGCCGACAACAUCAGUUCAAAGAGGAUGUUUGAAGAAGUUAUAUUUCCAAGAUUUGGAGUUCCCAGAGUAGUGAUAAGUGAUAGAGGAGCACACUUCAUCGACAAACGCUUCAAGCAACAUCUAUCAAAACAUGGAAUCCGUCACAACAUCGCUACUGUUGACGGUCCUUAAUACUCACAUUUAACCGUCAGCUAAUCAUGGAAAAGGAUCCAAAUGCAACCAACACCCAGACUCAGGGUUUUAUCUGACAGAAUUCCACGAGUUUUGGUGUUUGUCUAUUUCUGCAGGGGUUAUCAGGAAAUACGGAGGAAAGGCCCACAUGUUGGGUUUACAUAGAGAUAUUAACGUGCCGCGCAAUUUUCUAUCAUCUAGAAGACUCCAGAAGCCACGGGAACGAACGAGAAGCCGAGAGGGCUCAGGGACAGGGUGCCCGCCCUACUCCUUUGUGCACCCGCCCAUCUACAGUGUCCAAUCCAGACCCGUUUCGCGGAUCACGCUCCACCGACCUAAAGGAUCAAGGAAAACUGUGCGAUUAAUGUCGGUUUGAUCUGACGGCCUAGAUUCAUCUGAAAAGACUAUAUAAGCAAGGCCCCCUUGCCCCUGGAGAUCAUACCUCUUCUACAAAAUCAAAGCUAGGGUUUCAAUUCUUCAUCCAAGUAGAGAGGAUCCCUCUAGUUCAUCUAGUUCUAGCUCUAGUUCAUCUAGUUCUAGUUCCUCUAGUUCUAGUUCUAGAUAGUUCUAGUUGCAAUCUAGAAAAUAGGGAGAGAGAAGAGGAGAGCGGAGGAGGAGCCGGAUCUGUCGGAUCUUCAUCAACAUUAUAUUUUUGCUGCAACUGGUUCGUUCUUCAUUGUUCUCCAAGUUCUUCAAUUCAUAAUUCCUGAGUUCUUUAAUUACUUAUUUAUUGGAUUCCCGCUUGCAUCAAGUGCUCUAGUCUUUAUAACGCUAGAGUAGUAAUUAAUAGAUUAGACGUGGUGUUUAGUCUUGCAAUUACCUAGAAUUGCACCCAAUCCUGUGGAUUGUUGUGGUAGCCCUAGGGUAGUGACAGUCCUAACGGUCGACGUAUUCCACCUCGUUUGGAUCUGUGUUUGUAGGACCGUAGUCAGAGCUUCCUAGCCCCCUUCUCAUCUCUUUCUGUGGUUAGUGUUCUGAUGUCUCGAAAUAAAUAAUCUUAGAAGUAAUUCUUGAUUCUUAGAUCAGCUUGAGAACUCUCAAGAAACUUCCUCUCUUCCCACCAAAAAUAAUUAUAUAGUUAUCCUUGGGCAAUUUUGAAUCUUAAUUAGUACACUCACGUUCCUUGUGGAAAAUCGAUACUCUGGAAUAUUCCCGGGUCAAAGCUACAUCGGUAUCCAUGCACUUGCGGAUUUUUCUGUUUGCGUUUAAAAUACCCAACAAGCUUCCUAGCGCCGUUGUCGGGGAACGGUAGCUAUGCUAGUUUCAAACCAAGUCAUGCGUGUAUCCUUUUUCUUUUCUUUUUACCACACUCACCUUACCAUUUUUCACCAUACCACAUGGAUUUCACUCCAAACAUUAAUGAGCAUGGAAUUUAUUUCAUAGCCACUUCAUUUACUCCAUGCUCAUAUGUAACAUCUUCCCAAUCCAUUGGUCUCUCCAACAUCACCACAUUCGAGAUCUCCAACCCCCUCUUCCUUUCUAUUUAUAAAAACUUUAAAAGGGCGGUUGUCGAUGCAUAUGUCUAUAAUAAAUAUUGCAGAUCUCGUUGAGUUGAUCUUGAUAUAGGUCAGCGUUGGAGGGGAAACCACUUCGCCGACAUAAAUUGAUGGUUUCCCAAGGACAAGCUUAGUGUCCUAAAAUAAGCACUGAUCAGACCAUAACAUGAACUUUUAAUUAUUUGUAACAUUAACUUGUGUAUUGAGCAUAUAAGGAUAAUUGUAAAAAUAUUCCUUCGGGUAUUAUUGUCACUAACCUUUCCAGGAUUGGAGCAAGAAGAUCGGAUGAAUGACAAGCACAAGGUAUGUCCAACCAAUCAUCAUACAACAUUGAAUUAAAUUCAUCCAAACUUGAAUUUUGCAAAAUUCAAGCUUUGGGGAGUACUUUACAUAAAAACAUCCUUUGCCAUGUUGCUAUGUUGGUUGUCCCUACCUUUGAGACAUGCUCAAUUUGUUAAACACUAAUCACACUACUUCAUCUCCACUUGAGUAGAUCUCUAUAAAUGCUCUCAUGCUACCUUUAUUUGCUUUAGUAUAUGUCUAGGUUUGGAGUAGUUUCAUUUAUCUCUUAAUUAAGCAUGGUGCUUAGUUUAGGGCUGAUGAUCUUACUUCCAAGGGAGUUUAUAUUAAGCAUGAUGCUUAGUUUAAAAUGCCCUCCUAAAUCAAAUUAGACAUGGUGUCUAGGUUGAUUUUUGAGCCGAUAGUAUGCUAUAGUAGAUAUUGGAUAUUUUGUUGGACUAACCCCUGCAGGAAAACUUUCAAUAUCGACCUGGGAAGUCCUGAGAUAAACUCACAUUGGAGACAAAGAGAGAGACGCAUGAAGUUUAUUAAUUUACACAAGGAAGGCAUAACUCACAAGAGAUGAUCCAUGGAGGGUGCCACAAACACGAUGCACAACCGCUAAGAAAAUAAAGGUUCCACGAGGUGAUACUGUACCAUCACCUUGGUUCUGGCGAUCACAUGAAUAAAAGAGACAAACAUGUAUGAUUUACAACUCUAGAUUAACCAAACCAAUCGAUUCAAUGUGGUUAGUCCUUCCACCUUUGUGAUCCCACACUCCUAAUCAUAUGAGCUAAAAUGUUGCACACUCAAUCUUUGGAAGAUAUAUACAAACAAACAUAAGUAUAGAUAGAUUAUCUUUCCAUUAGGUUGAGCGAUCUGAUCUGACAAAUGUUUUAAAUGCUAUACUCAUGAUCUUAUUAUCCAUCAACUUUGUCUUGCUCACUAUGCUUAAGGUUAGAGAGAACAAAUACACUUUUGGUUCUCUUGGUGUUUUCCACCAACAGGGCCCAUGCACUUGAUCUCUGCCUUGCCUCUUUGAGCAGGUACACUUCGAGCAAAAUAUGGAGGAGGUUUACAACUCCCAGACUCCACUAAGUAAAGAACCUGGACCUACGAGCACAAACACAAUGGAGAUACUGGACACUCAGGCAAUCACUGCCCUGAGAUGCUUAAGGACGUGAACUACAUCAACAAUAACAACUACUACUACUACUACAACCGUCCUCAACAAAAUCAAGGUUGGAAUCAACAGAGGCCUAACUACUCCGGUAAUUAUCAAGGUAAUAAUUCUUACAAUAAUAAUAAUAAUAAUUUUCUACCUCUAAGAGAGUUAGUGUCUAAUCAAGGAAAGCUAAUGGAUAACAUAUCUAAGAAAUUGGCAUCUAAUGAUAAAAUGUUAGAAAAUAUAAAUAAUAGAAUGGAUAAUUUCUCUACUGCCAUCAAGAAUCAAAGUAGCUUUAAUAAAAUGAUUGAAUCUCAGUUAAAUCAAAUAGCUGCUGCUGUUCCUGCUACUAACCCCGGUAUACCAUCACAACCGGAAGGAUUAGAAUCUGCAAAUCUUGUAGACAUGUUUGAUGCAGGUAACUACUAGAGUAUCCCAAUUGUGGAAGUAAUUAGUGACCUUCUGCCGGUCAAGAGAGGCAAUCCAGGACGCCCCAUCAUCCCGAUCUCCAUCAGCAUGGUGGACUUCCCAGAAGCACUCUGCGAUUUUGGCUCCAGCAUCAACAUUAUGCCCAGGGUACUCUAUGAAAAAUUCUUUACACAUCCUUUACUAGAAACAACCAUGUGUUUGCAGUUUGCAGAUCGGACACUAAGUUUCCCAAAGGGAAUAUUGAAGAACCUCUACAUCCGAGUUGGUACCUUGUACACUCCAACAGCCUUCGUGGUGAUAGAGGCUAGUACUGAUGAGAGGGCACCCAUCAUCCUAAGGAGGCCAUUCCUGAACACCUCGGGAGCUGUCAUCUACGCUAGUGCCGCCAAGAUCAGUUUCUACAUCAAGAGGAGGAAGGAGACGUUUUCCUUCAAGAACAAGGCUACACAAAUCUCAGAGCAAUCCCGACUUAGUCAGCAAUCCCGACCAAGGAAGAGUACCAACAGGAGGAACAAGAACAAGCAAAUGUGGACCGAGUCAGCUAAGAUGGUCACUGCAGUUCAAGGAGGUCAAGAUCGUCGACUUAAGUCACCAUUUCUGACAGAUCAGACAUUCUGAAAGGUUGAAGAUUAUUGACAUGGGAGAAGACGAGUAUGAUCCACCCAUCAUCCUUUGGAGACCGUUCCUCAGCACCGUUAAAGAAAUCAUCUACAUUGGGACCGGAGAAGUCCACAUGCACUUCCCCUCUGAGAAGGUACGCCGCUAUUUUACUGACCCUAACUAUGUAGUUGAAGACUCUAAGCAGGUUAGGACAAGAAGAAGACGAUGCAACAACAACCAGAGGAGGCAAAUCAUCAAGGAUGGAUGGGCAGACUGCGAAGGAGAAGUGGUAAGGUCUGAAGACAUACAACUUGAACAGAACUAUCCUGAGAAGACCGUAGCACCGAGUCAAGUUUGGGGAGAGAAGAUAGUUAUACACGAAGAGGAGGCGCCGCCGGAACCACCGACUACGCCAUCCAGCGAGUCCCAGGAUGACUGAGAAAACGGUGAGUCCCGUUCAGAGGACAUAAAAACACCAAACGCCUCACCGAAAGGUAAAAUCGGUAGUUAUCCAUAUUUAUCCUUUCUGUAUUCCCUUUUUCCUUAAAUUAUUUACUUUCCUUAAAUGGCUUGUUAGUUAUUCGUGCUAUCUUGAAAAGAAAAUAAAAAUGUUAAAAAUAGUAAGCCCCAUGUGAGUAUGCUCGUGGCAUAAAAUCCAUAAGUACAUUCACUAUGGUGGCGUAAAAAUAAAUAUAUUCCUGUCCUAUAGAAAUGAAAAUAUAAAAAUAAAUUUAUGAUCCUACCAAAGAGAGUAAUAUUUAUUAGAGGAGGCUCAACAUGAUAAAGGCUAGAUAUUUAUAGUAACACUUAACUAGUUCCACAAAGCUUUGUUGUCUAUUUGAGCUCCACAGAAUUCAAGGAUCAAAGAAGACUAGCAGACGGAGGACAUCCUAAUCGCCGUCAGGGUGCUGCCGACAUUCAAAUACACCUCUGCCACCUGCUAGCUACAUCAGAAGGAAUUACGUCAAAAUCUAGCUUGGGGGAGAGCACCCCCAUUUAUCUAGCUAAGUGUUCUACUCAUGUUUAUACUUUACUCAAAUAAUAAAAAGAUGCAUAAUCAUAAAAACCCAAAUAAAGAUUUUGUGCUUAUAUAUAUAUAUCUUUGCUUAGUUUGCUAAAUAAGUAAAUAAAUAAAGUUUGCUAUGAACCCUCAUGAUAAGCUCUCACAUGGAAAUGAUGAAUAGUUGCUAUGCCAUGACUAGUUCUCAAAAUUGAAAUCUCUCUCAAGUUUAGGCAUGAUUGUUAUUAAUAAAGAUUUGCUCUAAACCUGAACUUGUGGGAAGAGUACUUGAUCUAAAGUCUAAGUCGUUAACGGAUAUGAUAUGUAAAGGUGGAGUGUCGACGAAAGCUAGUCGGCAGUCUACCUUGGGGUAUACCCACGGUAGUAGUUUAUCGGUAGACGGUGCGCAAACUACGAACUCGAUGGUGACGCAAGACACGGACAAGCUUUUUAUCCAGGCUCGGCCGCCAAGUUGGCGUAAUACCUACGUCCUGCGUCUGAUUGUAUUGGAUUGAGAGAAUAAUAUGUCCUAGGGGGGUCCCUUGCCCCUCCUUAUAUAGUCCGGAGGGCAGGGUGACAGAUCUGGAAACUAAUCCUAGUCGGUUACAAUUGCCAUAGAUAGUUCGAUAUCAAUUCCUAUUCUAACCGACUAGAAUCCCGCUUGAUCUCCACGUCUUGUUUCCUUGCGCGAAACUCCAAACUGUCGGAUCAAGCCUUGAACUUGUCUCGUAAUGGGCCAAGCCUCCUUGCCCAAGUCUAGCCGUAAGGGUAUAGGGGUUUAUACCCCCACAGCUAGUCCCCGAGCACCAUGUAUUGUGAAGUAACACACCGUCUUGAGCUUCUUCGACCAAUGAAACUUUGACAUCUCUAAUCAGCAUGAAAAUUGCCCAGGCAAUUGCGAAGGUAUUUUGACCAAAUGUAAAUAUGUUUGAUCAACAUCGUCAUCGAAGAAGCUAAUUGUUCGAAGAAUGCAUGGUGCUCUUGAGAAAAAAUAUUUCUUUUCCGGUGAAGUGUGCCCACUUUACUUUUCUGAAAAGUACAGUUCCUCAAAAAAGCAAGCAUAUUCACCACAAGGUGAAGUGUGCCCACUUAGUCCCCGAGCCUGGUAGUAGGUGACGUAGGCACGUGGUGCCAGGGUCAAAAGAAAAUUCCUCAAAGUAUUUUUGAAUCUGAAAUGCAUCGCCAGAUGCAUCGUACCGAUGUAGUCCCCGAGCUUGCUGGAAGGCGAAGUAUGAGCCUUGUAGCAAGGUCUAAAAAAUUAAAAUUAUCCAGUCCUCUGGUGUACAAUGCUCGGAGAUCGAUACAGCCCACAGAUUCCCGAACUAAUAGACUAGACAACCAGUCCCCGAGCAUCAAGCGCUCGGUGGUCGGUGCAGUCUCAACAGAUUUGACGACCAGUCCCCGAGCAUCAAGUGCUCGGUUGUCUGUGCAUUCCUUGAAAUUCCAGACUGAUAGACUGGGCGACCAGUCCCCGAGCAUCAAGUGCUCGGUGGUCGGUGCAGUUCCAACAUAUUUGACGACCAGUCCCAGAGCAUCAAGCGCUCGGUGGUCGGUACAUUCCUUGAAAUUCCGGAUUGAUAGACUGGGCGACCAGUCCCCGAGCAUCAAGUGCUCAGUGGUCGGUGCAGUUCCAACAUAUUUGACGACCAGUCCCCGAGCAUCAAGCGCUCGGUGGUCGGUACAUUCCUUGAAAUUCCGGAUUGAUAGACUGGGCGACCAGUCCCCGAGCAUCAAGUGCUCGGUGGUCGGUGCAGUCCCCGGAUUGUUGACUCUCUACCAUUUUUGUCUCCUUGUUUGGAAAAAAAAUUUUACCACAUAAAAGUUGACGUGACGAGACCUCCUGACGGGAUGUCAGAUGGCUGCAUGAAAAGUUGCGCCUAGCAACUGUACAGCCGCCCUUUGCGUGGUUUGAAAAAAGGAAACCAUCAAUUUGUACGAAUACUCCGCCGCAUUAAUUGUCGAUAAUCAUUGAAAACCGAAGCGCCGCGCCCGCUGUAUGGCCCGCCCACUUCCCGAGAAUGCGGGAAGUGGGACGGGUGGAGUUGCAGUUUAUAAAAUCCUGACAUUAACCCCUCAUUGCUUACCCUGCCAUUGCCUUCAAGCUUGCCGCUCUCGCCUUCUUUCAACCACCUGCGCCCUCCUAGUUCAAAGCCGCUCCCGCAUCUCCAAUGGUGAAGAGCGACUCCAAGAAGAGGGCCGAGCUUAUGGCCAAAGAAUGGAAGAAAUCCCGUAGCACCGCAAAGUCUCUGGGUGACCUCAUCGAUAUAGGGCUAUUGCACAGCCCGGAGCUCGGUGGCUGGAGGGCGCCGUAGGGGGAGAGCUACCCCGACCCCCGCACCGGUGAGAUCGUAGUGUGUUGGGUAUUUUAAACGCAAACAGAAAAAUCCGCAAGCGCACGGAUACCGAUGUAGGUUUCACCCGAGAGUAUUCCAGAGUAUCGAUUUUCCACAGAGAACGUGAGUGUACUAAUUAAGAUCCAAGAUCGCCCAAGGAUAACUAUAUAAUUAUUUUUGGUGGAAAGAGAGGAAGUUUCCUGAGAGUUCUCUAGUUGAUCUAAGAAUCAAGAAUUACUUCAAGAUUAUCUAUAUCGGGACAUCAGAGCACUAACCAUAGAAAGAGAUGAGAAGGGGGCUAGGAAGGUCUGACUACGGUCCUACAAACACCAAUCCGAACGAGGUGGAAUAUGUCGACCGUUAGGGUUGUCACUACCCUAAGGCUACCACAACAAUCCGCAGGAUUGGGUGCAAUUCCAGGUAAUUGCAAGACUAAACACCACGUCUAAUCUAUUAAUUACUACUCUAGCGUUAUAAAGACUAGAGCACUUGAUGCAAGCGGGAAUCCAAUAAAUAACUUGAAUGUAAAUAAAAGUAAUUAAAGAACUCAGGAAUUAUGAAUUGAAGAACCUGGAGAACGAUGAAGAACGAACCAGUUGCUGCAAAAGUAUAAUGUUGAGGAAGAUCUGACAGAUCCGGCUCCUCCGCUCUCCUCUUCUCUCUCCCUAUUUUCUAGAUUACAACUAGAACUAACUAGAACUAGAACUAGAAGAACUAGAACUAGAACUAGAUGAACUAGAACUAGAUCUAGAUGAACUAGAGGUAGAACUAGAAGAACUAGAGGGAUCCUCUCUACUUGGAUGAAGAAUUGAAACCCUAACUUUGAUUCUGUAGAAGAGGUAUGAUCUCCAGGGGCCAGGGGGUCUGGUUUUAUAGUCCCUUCAAGUGAAUCUGGGCCGUCGGAUCAAACCGACAUUGAUCGUGUGGUUUUCCUUGAAGUAUUAGGUCGGUGGAGCAUGAUCCUCGAACUUCACCCUGAUUGGUGGAAAUAGGUGGGCGGGCGCCCUCAGGACUAGGGCGGGUGCCCUGUCCCUGAGGCAUCUCGGCUUCCACUUCGGUCCCGUGGCUUCUGGAGUCUUCUAGAUGAUAGAAAAUUGCGCGGCACGUUAAUAUCUCUAUGUAAACCCGACGUGUGGGCCUUUCUUCCAUAUUUCCUGAUAACCCCCUGCAGAAAUACACAAACACCAAAACUCGUGGAAUUCUGUCAGAUAUAACCCUAAGUCUAGGUGUUGGUUCCGUUUAGAUCAUUUUCCAUGAUUAGUUGAUGGUUAAAUAUGAGCAUUAAGGACCGUCAACAAGCUCCCCCAAGCUUAACCUUUGCUCGUCCCUGAGCAAAGAUGAACUUAAGAGUUUCUGCAGUGGUUUCAUGCUUUUAAAGAUACACAUGCGUUUAAACAAGAUCUCAUCUCUGGUUAGAGUAAACUGUUAAGACUUAAAACUUACUCAUUUACCUUUCACCAUGGGACUUGUAACCGUCACUUCUGUCUUGAGUAGUUAAAAGAUAGAACGGUCUAAUCAAGCACAAUGUCUCUUAUUCUUGAUCAGCUAUAGCUCUGGAGUUUUUGCAGAUUUUCAAAUAAAACUCAGAGAUUCCUUGUAUGACUCUCUCUAGUCUCUCUUUUGAGGUAUUUCUGGAUCCUUACCAAGACAGUGAUGGUAUAAGCCUUCUCUCAAAGUAUGUGGUAUUUGUGGUAUAAGGCAUAGUGGCAUUGCCUUCUCUCUCACCCUACUCUAAUAAGGCUUUUGAUAUCUGGAGCUCAUAGGUGGGAGACAGCUAAUACAUACUUACAAGACAUUUAUUGCAUAGUCAAACCAUGGAUCCAGAAGAACAAGUCAAUAAGGCAAAUCAAGAUGUGCAUGUGUGGCGAAUGAAUGGUGGUAACAAUGGUGAAAGUCUAAUUCUACUUGUGCUCUUUUGAGGGAUACAUACCUUUCUUGCUCUUUUGAAACUUUUUGAGGAGAAUGAGAUGCUCUAUAUUUUCUUUUUCUCUCACGUGGGUAUCUUGUACCCCUAAUUCUACUGUCGGACACUUGUCCAUUUUUACCUCUCGUCUCACUUUUUCUUUCUCUCGAGGUUCCGGGCACUUGCCCCUUUUUAUUUCCUCGUAUCUCUUUUUUUUCUCUCUUUCUUUUCUUUUUUAGAGCACUCAUCUCCUGAAAUAAUAUAGCAAGUGGUAGUAACCAAGAUAACUUGAGCAUUUAUUUCACAGGGAAAAACAGAAAUAGGAGAACGUUUUUGGCUAUUCUCUCCCAGAUUAGGAGUAGAAUAUUUUUGGGUGGUUCUGGAGAUGGAAAUGGAUGGAUAUAUGUGGAUGGUACUUCUGGAGUAGAAGUAGCAUGUGUGAGUGAACGUGCAAGUGAAUCUUGAUUUAACCACAUGACAAGCUCCUAAGGGUCUACACAGCUUGACCACACUCAAUGCUCAUAAGCAGUAAAAAGUAAAUGUGUGGCUCAAAGUCUAGCAAGCAUGUAUAUAUGGCUGUGGUAGGAAUUUAAACUCUCAUCAUACAGGAACUCAUCAUGCAAGAUGUUAAAGAUUUUCAAAGAUAAAAUUCUCCAGAAUUCUAGCAUCUCUAGGAACAGAUAAACAGUAGCUCAACCUUCCCAUAUCGUAUCCGUUAACGACUUAGACUUUAGAUCAAGUACUCUCCCCACAAGUUCAGGUUUAGAGCAAAUCUUAAUUAAUACCAGUCAUGCCUAAACUUGAGAGAGAUUUCAAUUUUUAGAACUAAUCAUAGCAGAGCAACUAUUCAUCAUUUCCAUGUGAGAGCUUAUCAUGAGGGUUCAUAGCAAACUUUAUUUAUUUAUUUAUUUAGCAAACUAAGCAAAGAUAUAUAUAUAAGCAUAUUAGAGUAAAGUAUAAACGUGCGUAGAAUACUUAGCUGGAUAAAUGGAGGCGCUCUCCCCCAAGCUGGAUUUUGAUGCAAUUUCUUCUAAUGUAGCUAGCAGGUGCUGGAGGUGUAUUUGAAUGUCGGCAGCACUCUGACAGCGAUUAGGAUAUCCUCCGUCUGCUAGACUUCUUUGAUCCUUGAAUUCUGUGGAGCUCAAAUAGACAACAAAGCUUUGUGGAACUAGUUAAGUGUUAGCAUAAAAACUCUUAGCCGUUAUCAUGUUGAGCUUCCUCUAAUAAAUUUUACUCUCUUUGGU